rnacentral:tRNA from 1 species
ACAGUGGUGGUUCAGUGGUAGAAUUCUCACCUUCCAUGCAGGAGAUCCAGUUUCGAUUCCUGGCCAAUGCA